rnacentral:rRNA from 1 species
CAAUGUAUGCUUUGGAAACUGUUAGACUUGAGUGCAGAAGGGGAGAGUGGANUUCCAUGUGUAGCGGUGAAAUGCGUAGAUAUAUGGAGGAACACCGGUGGCGAAAGCGGCUCUCUGGUCUGUCACUGACGCUGAGGCUCGAAAGCGUGGGUAGCGAACAGGAUUAGAUACCCUGGUAGUCCACGCCGUAAACGCUGAGUGCUAGGUGUUAGGUCCUUUCCGGGACUUAGUGCCGACGCUAACGCAUUAAGCACUCCGCCUGGGGAGUACGACCGCAAGGUUGAAACUCAAAGGAAUUGACGGGGGCCCGCACAAGCGGUGGAGCAUGUGGUUUAAUUCGAAGCAACGCGAAGAACCUUACCAGGUCUUGACAUCCCGAUGCCCGCUCUAGAGAUAGAGUUUUUCUUCGGAACAUCGGAGACAGGUGGUGCAUGGUUGUCGUCAGCUCGUGUCGUGAGAUGUUGGGUUAAGUCCCGCAACGAGCGCAACCCUUAUUGUUAGUUGCCAUCAUUAAGUUGGGCACUCUAGCGAGACUGCCGGUAAUAAACCGGAGGAAGGUGGGGAUGACGUCAAAUCAUCAUGCCCCUUAUGACCUGGGCUACACACGUGCUACAAUGGUUGGUACAACGAGUCGCAAGCCGGUGACGGCAAGCUAAU